UGGGGAAUAUUGCACAAUGGGCUCAAGCCUGAUGCAGCCAUGCCGCGUGUAUGAAGAAGGCCUUCGGGUUGUAAAGUACUUUCAGCGAGGAGGAAGGCGUUGUGGUUAAUAACCGCAGCGAUUGACGUUACUCGCAGAAGAAGCACCGGCUAACUCCGUGCCAGCAGCCGCGGUAAUACGGAGGGUGCAAGCGUUAAUCGGAAUUACUGGGCGUAAAGCGCACGCAGGCGGUCUGUCAAGUCGGAUGUGAAAUCCCCGGGCUCAACCUGGGAACUGCAUCCGAAACUGGCAGGCUAGAGUCUUGUAGAGGGGGGUAGAAUUCCAGGUGUAGCGGUGAAAUGCGUAGAGAUCUGGAGGAAUACCGGUGGCGAAGGCGGCCCCCUGGACAAAGACUGACGCUCAGGUGCGAAAGCGUGGGGAGCAAACA
rnacentral:rRNA from 1 species